rnacentral:tRNA from 1 species
GGGGCUAUAGCUCAGCUGGUAGAGCACCUGAAUCGCACUCAGGAGGUCCGGGGUUCGAGUCCCCGUAGCUCCACAA